GGUUACCUAGAUCUUUUCACUAGUCGACCUUUGCCCGGUGCGCAUCGAUGCUCGCAGUAAAGUUAAAAUAAUCUCAUAGUAAGAUGUGAUUUAAUAGAACAGAAUAAUUAAUUUAACAUACUACAUAUACAUAUGUAUAUAUAGCAGCCGAAGGAGGCUUAAUUAAAAGAUAUUCAACGUUGCUACUAAAAAAUAUACAUUUGUAGCUUUCGAGUUGAAGAUAAAUAUCGGCAGAGGAGGAUUUUCUACCGUUGGAGUAAGAAUAAACUUGCUAUGGAUAUGAGAACUUUUUAAUUGUCAGCGCAACUGUAAUCCACUAAUGCAUUAACCCGCUUUUUACGGCCCAAAAUGUUGCUGCGGAGUCUCAAAUCGAACAUAUUAAUUUUUUGCUUGUAUUUUAAUUGCUAAAAAGCGAGAAUUGGUAGUGUUCGUAAAUGUUAAAUGUUUAAAUUUUGGGUAGACUUGAAGAUCGAAUGAUGAAAAUUGUAAUAUUACAAAUGUAUU